GCAUGUACAAAAUAAGUUUUUUAUAUUUAUGUUUAUUCAUUAAAUAGUUUUAAUAUUUUACAACACUACUAUUUUUAUCAAUUGUAAAAUAACUAAAUAAAUGUAAGUCGCUUAAUUGUAUCAUCGUUGUUGAAUAGUUAAUGUAUUACAUUUCAUUUUAGUUAUUUUUAAAAUUUCAUAUGUACAAAAAAAAUUAAAUUUCACGGCUGACACAAAUCAUCAAAACAAGAUAGGCAACACUAUUGCAAAACGACGAAAGGAAAUUAGGUUUUAUGUUCUCAGUUUUAAUUUGACUCUUCAUAAGUAAUUUCAUUUUUUUACCUCUAUAAAAUUGUGCUUUCGUUCCCGUUUGUGUUUCAUUGAUAGGAGUUUUUUUAUUCUUUUUUUUUUUUACUUUUUCUGUGAAUUCAGUGAAUUACAUUGGUAUCGAUUUUAAAAUCAAAAUUUUGAAGAAAAUCACCAGCAGAUUCUAUUCAUAUGUUAGUGUUUAAAUCUAAUUUAUCAAGCUAUUAUAUAAUAUAAGUGCAAACUCAAAAUAUAAAUGUUUGUCUAGUAUAUAUUCACCAGUUUGGACUAAAAAUCAUAUAUUUCUAAAACAACAAAAUAACUUACUUACUUUAUUAAUAUACGCUUUUGAGGUAUAGUUCUUUAAGAGUAUACCAAUAAAAAAC
rnacentral:lncRNA from 1 species